CCUACGGGUGGCAGCAGUGAGGAAUAUUGGUCAAUGGACGAGAGUCUGAACCAGCCAAGUAGCGUGAAGGAUGACUGCCCUAUGGGUUGUAAACUUCUUUUAUAUGGGAAUAAAAUGUUCCACGUGUGGGAUUUUGUAUGUACCAUAUGAAUAAGGAUCGGCUAACUCCGUGCCAGCAGCCGCGGUAAUACGGAGGAUCCGAGCGUUAUCCGGAUUUAUUGGGUUUAAAGGGAGCGUAGGUGGAUUGUCAAGUCAGUUGUGAAAGUUUGCGGCUCAACCGUAAAAUUGCAGUUGAAACUGGCAGUCUUGAGUACAGUAGAGGUGGGCGGAAGUCGUGGUGUAGCGGUGAAAUGCUUAGAUAUCACGAAGAACUCCGAUUGCGAAGGCAGUUCACUGGACUGCAACUGACACUGAGGCUCGAAAGUGUGGGUAUCAAACAGGAUUAGAUACCCGGGUAGUC
rnacentral:rRNA from 1 species